UCUAAUAUGGCAGAAUAGUGCCAUAGAUUUAAGCUCUAUAUAUAAAGAAUAUCUUUUAUUAGAA
rnacentral:tRNA from 1 species